rnacentral:rRNA from 1 species
GACGAACGCUGGCGGCGUGCUUAACACAUGCAAGUCGAACGGAAAGGCCCUGCUUUUGUGGGGUGCUCGAGUGGCGAACGGGUGAGUAACACGUGAGUAACCUGCCCUUGACUUUGGGAUAACUUCAGGAAACUGGGGCUAAUACCGGAUAGGAGCUCCUGCUGCAUGGUGGGGGUUGGAAAGUUUCGGCGGUUGGGGAUGGACUCGCGGCUUAUCAGCUUGUUGGUGGGGUAGUGGCUUACCAAGGCUUUGACGGGUAGCCGGCCUGAGAGGGUGUCCGGCCACAUGGGGACUGAGAUACGGCCCAGACUCCUACGGGAGGCAGCAGUGGGGAAUAUUGCACAAUGGGCGGAAGCCUGAUGCAGCAACGCCGCGUGCGGGAGGACGGCCUUCGGGUUGUAAACCGCUUUCGCCUGUGACGAAGCGUGAGUGACGGUAAUGGGUAAAGAAGCACCGGCUAACUACGU